UACGAAGGGUGCUAGCGUUGUUCGGAAUUACUGGGCGUAAAGCGCGCGUAGGCGGCUUUGCAAGUCAGGGGUGAAAUCCUGGAGCUCAACUCCAGAACUGCCUUCGAUACUGGAGAGCUUGAGUCCGGGAGAGGUGAGUGGAACUGCGAGUGUAGAGGUGAAAUUCGUAGAUAUUCGCAAGAACACCAGUGGCGAAGGCGGCUCACUGGCCCGGUACUGACGCUGAGGCGCGAAAGCGUGGGGAGCAAACAGGG
rnacentral:rRNA from 1 species